GAUGAACGCUGGCGGCGUGCCUAAUACAUGCAAGUCGAGCGAACAGACGAGGAGCUUGCUCCUCUGACGUUAGCGGCGGACGGGUGAGUAACACGUGGAUAACCUACCUAUAAGACUGGGAUAACUUCGGGAAACCGGAGCUAAUACCGGAUAACAUGUUGAACCGCAUGGUUCAACAGUGAAAGACGGUUUUGCUGUCACUUAUAGAUGGAUCCGCGUCGCAUUAGCUAGUUGGUAAGGUAACGGCUUAACAAGGCAACGAUGCGUAGCCGACCUGAGAGGGUGAUCGGCCACACUGGAACUGAGACACGGUCCAGACUCCUACGGGAGGCAGCAGUAGGGAAUCUUCCGCAAUGGGCGAAAGCCUGACGGAGCAACGCCGCGUGAGUGAAGAAGGUCUUCGGAUCGUAAAACUCUGUUAUUAGGGAAGAACAAAUGUGUAAGUAACUAUGCACGUCUUGACGGUACCUAAUCAGAAAGCCACGGCUAACUACGUG
rnacentral:rRNA from 1 species